CCCAAGACAACGAUGCCUCGCGGGAAAACAGGAUUGUUUAUAAAUUUACACUGUAAAUAGCUAACAGCCAGUCUUUUAUUACAAAAUUUGCUUAUUAAAACCUUCCGACCCAGAAAAGUUCUCAAAUCAAACGCUAUCGAUCCGAAAUCCUGUAACCAAAAUUACGAAAGUAUCAAACAUGACUUUAGCAUUAUCAUAAUCUGUCACAGAUGAUAAAUGACUCUCAAGCGCUAUUGAGGUCCUUAUACAGACCCGGCAUAAAACCAGCCGAUAUCAACCAAAUCUGGCAACGCCCACACCGGUAGAUACUGAUGCUGAGGCAGCCGGGGAGAUGUUUACGGGCAAAGUAUAAAAGUGGGGGCAGAAGAUUGAUAAGGGACAGAAUAUUAAUCAAACUCAAAGGUAAACACCUAGUAUAAAUCCGAAGGAAUGUCGAUCGUUUCGGAUUUCAGGAUUAGAAAAAUACUGAAUAUCGGACUCGAAUGUUAUCACGCGGCACGUGUUUCCGGCGGCCAGUUUUUGGCGCUUAUCAAGCAAUAUCAAGACUAAUUAACUGAAUAAAAUCUUAUAAAUCGAUCUACCUCAGUCAACAAAAGCUAUUUAAACGGUAUUUUUGCAGUCAAACUCCGAUCAUUUGACUGUGAUGAAUUAAGAACAUUGCAACCCAUUAAACGACACUUCCUACUUUGAGCGGCUCGAAUUCGUCGCGAGUCUGUCAUCAGCCCUGCCGAGGCAUUGUUUGAUAAUUGCCCUAAUGGGUUUGAUUAGUAGCAUUACAACCCAAUUGCUAAUACAUUUUUUGGUACGAUAGUAAAAUCACUAUGCUUCAAGAAGUUUUUUAGCAAACAGCCCGAAGGAUCAAUUUCUGCUUGGAAUUAUUUUUCCAGAAGGACCCAUUUUUAUUACAGCCGAGAUGAGUGGUAAAUGAUUUUAGGAAUCAAAAUGGUCAUACAUUUAAUGACCAGAAAAUGCAAUCAAAAGAUUAUUUGUUGAAGAUCACAGAGCUUGCUUUUCCUGCGACACGAUGCCCGUCCCAUCGGCGCCCGUUAUCCCGGCAUGUAUUCCUCGGGGUGUUACGCCACAGCUAUUCUCGUAUUUUUGAAAAAAGAUAGACGGAUAGUGAAUUUAAUCACAAUAUAUCUACACUUUCCGGAAAUAAGCCUACAACAAGAAGAAGCAGCUGUCUCCCUUGAAGAAAACCAAAGCAAACCACAGAGAAAUCACCCAAAGACUAGAAACAACACUCUAUUACCCAAGUCAACAAAAUAUCUGAAUGCAAGAAACAUGUUUAUAUGUAUUUGUAAUUACAGACUCGUUUCCUUCAAGUUACCGGACACGGUAUUGUUCCAGACUCAAUGUCCAGGUUACGGAAGAACAUACUCGUGCUAGCCUAGGACCGACCACGUCGUCACUUCCGACAACCCUAUGUAAACAGCGCUGACUCGAAUUUAGAAAUGUAAAAAAAAAAAAAGAAAAAAAGAAACAAAGCAUGAAAAUAAACAUGGACAAGAUAAAUAUUUAAAUGAUUGGCACGCUUUCGACUCAACUGAAUUAUUCUUGAAAAAGUUUCAAAAGUCUGUUAGAAGUAUUUUGAAUUAUGAACAAAUUCUUUCAAAUAUUUCAUGGUUGUUUUAUUAAAAUGUGCACGCUUUUAGGAAGAUAAAGAAAAAAAAAUUAAAUAUUUUCACAUUGCAUCUUGUUUUGAUCUGUUCAGAGGUUUUAUGAUUCAACAGAAAAUAUUAUAUUUAGCUGUGAUAGGGCUUAUUUUCAAAUAUGGCCCAUUUCUAACAUGAACUUGUUAUCUGCAAGGGGUUAAGUGGCUUAUUUAAAAAGAACGCUUAUAACAUUUAAAUACUAUUAUGAAAGGUUUCCAGUACUUAACAGUUUUUAAAAGAACGCUUAUAACAUUUAAAUACUAUUAUGAAAGGUUUCCGGUACUUAACAGUUUUUCAACAUCUUAGUGGAUUAUUCUUUUAAACACAGUACAUGUUGUUCAACAACAACGUAUAAGAAGUUGGCUUCUACCUUGGUUGGAAGGUAAGUCUGGGAUUAAACAUGGCGGCAGGUAAUGACACGUACGGGAACUCUUUUAAAUGCAAAAGUCAACUUUUGAAUAACCUCUUCGGCGAUGAACGAACUUUAAAAUUUCGAAACUUUGCAGCGAUUGUAGAAAGGACAGUAACGUACAGUGUUGAUGAACGCCACGUUUUUUUAUGCACUGGACAAAACUUAAGUACGGACUCGGAAUGGAACACUUGCCCAAGGCUGGUUUUGUUAACAUUUAGUUGACACUGUGUUGAAUUUUGUGAAACAAUUAAUUUAUUCAUUGUAAAAAUUGCAACAUAUUCAUGGAUAGAUUGUUUCUUUGAUUAUUAUCAUCAGCGGGCACAGAAGAAAAAAAUAAACGUAUAAAUAAAUAGCAAUAAUGGUACGGAUCUUUAUCAGUCUCGACAAACAACAGGACCAUGCAGUCUCACCCAAGGGGUAGCAGCUUGCCUUCAGACGUACAAGGUCGUUCUAAUACAUCGCAAAGGACAUCGUGUACGAAACAAUUAACAGUGUUCCCGAGGAGCAGACAGCAGAACAACACCAAUUGAUUGAUUGGUAGAUGGUUAGUUGAGCAGAGUUACGUCCCCGACUGUAGUGAACAUUGUAUAUUCCUCGCAGACUGCUGACGUUUCAAAUAUUUGUCAAAAAAAUUUCAGCAAGUAUUCAUCGCAGAUGAUUGAUAUUUUAACACACUUUUUGUUUAGGUAUUCCAUAUUUUAGGAUUCAUUUUUGUACCAAUCAGACGUCAACUUCGUGUUUAAUGACGCCUAUUUAUUCUUAGCCUAAAUUUUCGAACGAAAUUUAACACACUUUAUGUUUAGGUAUGUCUUUUUGAUGGAUCAAUUUUUUAACAAAUUUGAUGUCAACUUCCUGUAAAAUGACAACUUUUUGCUUAUUUCGUAUAUUCACAUCAGAGCUGGGGUAUCACUGGGGGAUCAGAUUGCAGGGAGCACACAUUGUAAAGAUAGUUAGUCUUUUAUUGAAUGUCUAAGAGACAAAACUUCAAUAAAAAUGGAGACCAUGUCACAUCUUUAUUGCUCUGAUUGGUGGAGAAAUCAUCGCUUAAUCUCCUCUUUCAGCUCUAUGAAACAGUUAUCUCCUCGCAUCCGAUUAGGCGUCAGCCUACUCGUUCACCCCAUUGUUCCUCCCAAAGGAACUCAGAUUUUUUUUGGUGUUCGUUUUAUCAAAGAUGUGAAUCAUUAUUAGUCAUGCAUAUUCAUUAUAACCAUGAUUGCAUUAAAUUGCUUAAUUCUCUA